GAGAAACCCAGUCCCAGUAGCCGUCUCGCCCCCGGCCCGGCGCCCGCUGCGGGAGCCAGACCCCGGGGAAGGCGGUGAAUUUAGUGCUGAUGAAUGGUGCUGAAUUAUGUGACCUUUGGCUGAGACAUGAAAGAUGCUGGAUUGGAAGUUCUGGAGCCUGAAGCUUCCUAUUUACUACAGAACAGGUGUCCACAUCACAGAAAUGAUCUGCUAGAUAAUGCACUGAGAUCCACCAACCAACCAACUGGUAACAGUCCUUCAGCACUAUCAGCCUGGCAGUAGACUGAAUCAGUAAUCUAGAGAUGAGAGGAAAGGUGGCAAUUGCUAACUAAAAUUAGAAGAUGUGGAAUCAGAAAUCACUUCCGAGGCCUGUGAAGAGAACUUACGAUGAGCAACUUCCUGCUGUGAGAAUGAACGGGCUGAAUUUUGUGAAGCAUCUUGUUCCAUCUGGGGCUCUGUGGACAGCCUUCUAUUCCUGGCUCCAUCCCAGAAGCUCAAGGUAGAUGUCAUGUUCACA